UACAGAGGGUGCAAGCGUUGUUCGGAAUUAUUGGGCGUAAAGAGCUUGUAGGCGGUUUGUCGCGUCUGCUGUGAAAAUCCGGGGCUCAACCCCGGACUUGCAGUGGGUACGGGCAGACUAGAGUGUGGUAGGGGAGACUGGAAUUCCUGGUGUAGCGGUGAAAUGCGCAGAUAUCAGGAGGAACACCGGUGGCGAAGGCGGGUCUCUGGGCCGAUACUGACGCUGAGGAGCGAAAGCGUGGGGAGCGAACAGG
rnacentral:rRNA from 1 species